rnacentral:rRNA from 1 species
GCCAGACUCCUACGGGAGGCAGCAGUGAGGAAUAUUGGUCAAUGGUCGGGAGACUGAACCAGCCAAGCCGCGUGAGGGAGGAAGGUACAGAGUAUCGUAAACCUCUUUUGUCAGGGAACAAAGGCGGGGACGUGUCCCCGGAUGAGUGUACCUGAAGAAAAAGCAUCGGCUAACUCCGUGCCAGCAGCCGCGGUAAUACGGAGGAUGCGAGCGUUAUCCGGAUUUAUUGGGUUUAAAGGGUGCGCAGGCGGUCUGUUAAGUCAGCGGUCAAAGCCCGGGGCUCAACCCCGUACUGCCGUUGAAACUGCAUCCCUUGAGUGCGCGAGAAGUAUGCGGAAUGCGUGGUGUAGCGGUGAAAUGCAUAGAUAUCACGAAGAACCCCGAUUGCGAAGGCAGCCUGCCGCAGCGUUACUGACGCUGAAGCUCGAAAGCGCGGGUAUCGAACAGGAUUAGAUACCCUAGUAA